rnacentral:tRNA from 1 species
GGAGGGAUCGCAUAGUGGCCGAGUGCAGCAGUUUACUAAACUGCCAUCGCGUUUUACGUGAUCGUGAGUUCGAAUCUCACUCCCUCCG